AGAGUGAACGCUGGCGGUAGGCCUAACACAUGCAAGUCGAACGGCAGCACAGUGGUAGCAAUACCAUGGGUGGCGAGUGGCGGACGGGUGAGGAAUACAUCGGAAUCUACCUUUUCGGUGGGGGAUAACGUAGGGAAACUUACGCUAAUACCGCAUACGCCCUUCGGGGGAAAGCCGGGGAUCGCAAGACCUGGCGCGGAUAGAUGAGCCGAUCGUCGGAUUAGCUAGUUGGUGAGGUAAUGGCUCACCAAGGCGACGAGUCCGUAGCUGGUCUGGAGAGGAUGAUCACGCCACACUAGGAACUGGAAGACGACGGU
rnacentral:rRNA from 1 species